GGCUCUUGAUACAAUCAGUUUAAAAUUCUCUGUACGGUUUCGUCUCAGCCGUCCACUCAUUCUCUAUGGCCACGAUUCCGCCAUCGCUUCGGUAGCUGGCAUGAUCCGAGGCGCAGCUCCCGAUACAAUCAGUUUCAAAUUCCCUGUACGGUUUCGUCUCAGCCGUCCACACCUUCUCUACGGCCACGAUCUCGCCAUCUCUUUUGUCUUAUAUGCGGCAUUAAUUAGGUCAUCUUAAUUGCCGCCGUCUUUUCAUCAUUAUAGCCGAUCUUGGGAAACGAUUUCGACGCGACAGCUCCUUUUUUUCUUCGCCAAGCUUCCUUUUCUCUAGUUCCUUUUUAACUCAAGCCUUGUCCUCUUCGCCUUCUCUUUACUUCUCCUCGUUUUCUCCGACCUCUUCUCCAUCUCUGAUCUACAGCUUUGGCCCACUUCCUUUUCCUUUUCAAUCCUUAGAGUCUUUUUCACUCUUUAACAAUGGCGCCUCUUCCGCCUCUUCCUUCUUAUCUGUCUUUAGACUAUAACUUACUUAGACAGUUCGUUGAAUCGGAUCCCUCUCGAUUUAUUUUAGGCCCUUCCUUUACAGGCGAACCAUUCCCUGC
rnacentral:lncRNA from 1 species